GAUGAACGCUAGCUACAGGCUUAACACAUGCAAGUCGAGGGGCAGCAUUUCAGUUUGCUUGCAAACUGGAGAUGGCGACCGGCGCACGGGUGAGUAACACGUAUCCAACCUGCCGAUAACUCGGGGAUAGCCUUUCGAAAGAAAGAUUAAUACCCGAUGGUAUAAUCAGACCGCAUGGUCUUGUUAUUAAAGAAUUUCGGUCAUCGAUGGGGAUGCGUUCCAUUAGGUUGUUGGCGGGGUAACGGCCCACCAAGCCUUCGAUGGAUAGGGGUUCUGAGAGGAAGGUCCCCCACAUUGGAACUGAGACACGGUCCAA
rnacentral:rRNA from 1 species